rnacentral:rRNA from 1 species
AACGAACGCUGGCGGCAGGCUUAACACAUGCAAGUCGAACGCGUGUAGCAAUACACGAGUGGCGCACGGGUGAGUAACGCGUGGAUAUCUGCCUUUUGGUUCGGAAUAACUCCGGGAAACUGGAGCUAAUACCGGAUGGUUCCUUCGGGAUAAAGAUUUAUCGCCAAAAGAUGAGUCCGCGUACGAUUAGCUAGUUGGUGAGGUAAUGGCUCACCAAGGCGACGAUCGUUAGCUGGUCUGAGAGGACGAUCAGCCACACUGGGACUGAGACACGGCCCAGACUCCUACGGGUGGCAG